AGAGUUUGAUCCUGGCUCAGGACGAACGGCUGGCGGCGUGCCUAACACAUGCAAGUCGAACGAAGCUUGAAUUCAGAUUCUUCGGAAUGAAGAAUGAUAUGACUGAGUGGCGGACGGGUGAGUAACGCGUGAGCAACCUGCCCUUCGGAGGGGGAUAGUGUCUGGAAACGGACAGUAAUACCGCAUAACGUAUUUUUACCGCAUGAUAGAAAUACCAAAACUGAGGUGCCGAAGGAUGGGCUCGCGUUGGAUUAGAUAGUUGGUGGGGUAACGGCCUACCAAGUCAACGAUCCAUAGCCGGACUGAGAGGUUGAACGGCCACAUUGGGACUGAGACACGGCCCAGACUCCUACGGGAGGCAGCAGUGGGGAAUAUUGCACAAUGGGGGAAACCCUGAUGCAGCAACGCCGCGUGAAGGAAGACGGUUUUCGGAUUGUAAACUUCUGUUCUUAGUGAAGAAAAUGACGGUAGCUAAGGAGCAAGCCACGGCUAACUACGUG
rnacentral:rRNA from 1 species